rnacentral:rRNA from 1 species
CCGGGUGAGUAACACGCAUCCAACCUGCCGUCUACUCUUGGACAGCCUUCUGAAAGGAAGAUUAAUACAAGAUGGCAUCAUGAGUCCACAUGUUCACAUGAUUAAAGGUAUUCCGGUAGACGAUGGGGAUGCGUUCCAUUAGAUAGUAGGCGGGGUAACGGCCCACCUAGUCUUCGAUGGAUAGGGGUUCUGAGAGGAAGGUCCCCCACAUUGGAACUGAGACACGGUCCAA